AUUGAACGCUGGCGGCAGGCCUAACACAUGCAAGUCGAGCGAGCGGCGGACGGGUGAGUAAUGUAUGGGGACUGCCCGAUAGAGGGGGAUAACUACUGGAAACGGUGGCUAAUACCGCAUACUAUCGGAUAACCCAUAUGGGAUUAGCUAGUAGGUAAGGUAAUGGCUUACCUAGGCGACGAUCCCUAGCUGGUCUGAGAGGAUGAUCAGCCACACGGGGACUAGGACACGGUCCGGACUCCUACGGAGGCAGGCGUGGGGAAUGUUGCACAAGGGGCCCAAGCCUGAUGAAGCCAUGCGGCGUGUAUGAAGAAGGCCCUAGGGUUGUAAAGUACUUUCAGUCGGGAGGCGUUACCGACAGAAGAAGCACCGGCUAACUCCGUGCCAGCAGCCGCGGUAAUAC
rnacentral:rRNA from 1 species